CAGAGGGCAAAAGCGUCGCCCCGCCGCUUCACGGCAGACGCUGCGGUCUUGCGCCCCCGUGUGCCUGGAGUAAGGACCCGCGGAGGUUUAAUUCGUCCCUCCCACGUGACUCGAGCGGGACGGACAGUCUCGCUGCAGGGGUUGAGCGGGAUGCUGCGGAAUGGCGAAUCCACAUGGGAUGGGCCCCUUGAGAAUUGAUCCUCCUGCAGACGUGAAGCCAGGCCUUCCAGAGUUGCAGAUUACAUCUCAUUGGCUCUGAUUGAUAAGGCGCCAUUUUGGAAAUAGUCACUGUGGCCAGAAGAAGGUGCUGUUCUUAUUAGCCAGGCCUGAAUCUCACAUCCAUCGCAGAGUGUAGAGUAUACACCGUUUGAAAGACUUGUCUGAAAGUGCACACCAGGAUGCUUUUACCAGACGAGAGGGAAGUGGAUGGGACGCGUCUGACCAAGAAAUACCUGCGGUGGCCUAAAAGAAAUACAGGUCAAGUUAUAGCAGUCUUGUACAACAUACUUCAGCUGUCAACAGCGAAUUCAUCAGUUUGGAAGCUGUCACGUGACUUAACAUUGUCUUGAUGUUGUGUUAAAUUCAAGGAAAAGGUUACUAAAAGCC